UAGAGCUUUUUCCCCUUUAUCCCACAGACAAUAGUCACACCAUAUUUGCAAUCGUGAUUUAUCUAUCUAUCUAUCUUUAAAUGCAGUUUCCAGAGAGGAAACACAGAUGAAACCUUAACGCCAGAAACUGAUUUGAUGAAAAAUACGAAGCGAGUACGGGUGUUCUUGGACAUUGCGCUCAGAGGAAGCCUUCUGGAUCAACAUGACCUGUGUGACCACUGAGCCAUGUUGGAAGGAUCUUUAUUUAACAAGCACCCCAGGAGCCCACACAUUCAGGCUAAAUGGCAACACUGAGUGGAACAUCCUAAAACAACAGGAAGUCCUCACUUCCUCUGAUGUGUCCACCAUGGGACAGAAGCCCAUAUAAAGACAGUAACAUGCAGAAGAAGCAGUGGCCUGACUCAGCAUCAUCAGUACUGUGUUGCAGUGAUUUUUGUUAAAAAGUAGUCCAGCAGACAAAAGGCUCAGUGAUGCGCAGUGGAAUCAGAAGCAGCCUCUCUUUGCUUCUCCAUACUGUGUAUUAAAAAUGCAUUUAAUUAUGCAUUUCAAUUUUUUUGUUUUGAAAUGUAAAGUAGGUUUUAGUGCUACGUCGAUUAAAUGCAUUUAGAUUCCAUUCCUUAGUAACCUUUAUAGACAUAGCUUUGGAACUGUGUUUAAGACAAUUCAAUUAUUCCUGGAGAAGCUGAUUCAAGCACAUCUAAACACGUGCACAGACACAGAUACACACACACGCACAGACUUUCAAAAAAAAAAAAA